rnacentral:rRNA from 1 species
AACGAACGCUGGCGGCAUGCCUAACACAUGCGAGUCGAACGAGAUCUUCGGGUCUAGUGGCGCACGGGUGCGUAACGCGUGGGAAUCUGCCCUUUGGUUCGGAACAACAGUUGGAAACGACUGCUAAUAUCGGAUGAUGACGAAAGUCCAAAGAUUUAUCGCCAGAGGAUGAGCCCGCGUAGGAUUAGCUAGUUGGUGUGGUAAAGGCGCACCAAGGCGACGAUCCUUAGCUGGUCUGAGAGGAUGAUCAGCCACACUGGGACUGAGACACGGCCCAGACUCCUACGGGAGGCAGCAGUGGGGAAUAUUGGACAAUGGGCAAAAGCCUGAUCCAGCAAUGCCGCGUGAGUGAUGAAGGCCUUAGGGUUGUAAAGCUCUUUUACCCGGGAUGAUAAUGACAGUACCGGGAGAAUAAGCUCCGGCUAACUCCGUGCCAGCCGCCGCGGUAAUAC